rnacentral:rRNA from 1 species
UAGGGAAUCUUCCGCUAUGGACGCAAGUCUGACGGAGCAACGCCGCGUGAGUGAAGAAGGUUUCCGGAUCGUAAAACUCUGUUGUAAGAGAAGAACAAAUUGUAGAGUAACUGCUACAGUCUUGACGGUAUCUUACCAGAAAGCCACGGCUAACUACGUGCCAGCAGCCGCGGUAAUACGUAGGUGGCAAGCGUUGUCCGGAUUUAUUGGGCGUAAAGGGGGCGCAGGCUGCUUCGUAAGUCUGAUGUGAAAGCCCACGGCUUAACCGUGGAAGUGCAUUGGAGACUGGGAAGCAUGAGUACAGAAGAGGAAAGUGGAACUCCAUGUGUAGCGGUGGAAUGCGUAGAUAUAUGGAAGAACACCAGUGGCGAAAGCGACUUUCUGGUCUGUCACUGACGCUGAGGCCCGAAAGCGUGGGUAGCAAACAGG